CUUCCGCAGGCUUUGAAGAUGACAGAGGGCAAGGAGCAACGUCCACUGGGAGACAACAAGGCCUGUAUGCUUAUCCAUGGGAUAAAUCCAAUCUGAAAUCAGUACCACUAGACUUGGACCAGUUUAAGAAUCUGGAUGCUUAUGCGUCAAAGGUGAAUGUCAGGAACAGUGUCGAAAAUCUGGUGGACACCUUGCUUCAAAAAGCCCA